CAGUUACUUUAUGGCUAUGCAAUUCUAUUUAUACUGAGUUCAGCAACUUCAAAUGCAAAGUCAGCCUCCUCUGUUCCUUCAAAUUCCAGAGAGCCAGAUGCUGUCUUUUCCUUUGGGUACUGCAUGAUUCACAAAUAACCCGCCAGGAGCAUUCGAAUAAGCCACAGCCAAUGUAAGAAGCAAGGAGACUUCUCACAGAUGCCUCAUCGGUCCACUGGCCUCUCUUUGGCCAUGUCAGAAUCAUGCAGCCAUUUUAAACCACAGCAAGGAGAAGGAAACUGACAUAAGCGUAGAUCAGAAUGGUGAGCAAACACAACUAAACAUGGCCCGAAUACUGGCAAAUUCAAUAUGGAUACACAGGCUUCAGGUACUGAAACUCCACUGGCACAGGGACACAUCAGGAAAUACCCCAGAACAUGGUAAGUAACUGUGACAGUGAAAGACUUAUGUAAAAAGAGUAGAGCCUUAAGGACUGACAUAAUGUCAUUAGUGCUGAGAUCCUGAACUCCUUUGACCUUCUGGGGUCUUCACUCAGAUUGCCACACAAUCAAAUGUCAGCCACAUAUCAGUUUGUUGGUUGGGUUUUAAACAAAACAAAGUGACCUUAAGUAAGUUUGGUUUAUUAUUCCUCUUCUGUUACAUUUACAUAUUUUUGUGUGUGGUCAUAAACCCAUGUAGUGUGUGGUGGUGGUGAUGAUGAUGAUGACAACGAUGAUGACAAUGGUGAUGAUGGUGAUGGAAUCAAAUGCAGGGCCUUGUGUAUGUUAGGUAAGCACUCCAUGACUGAACUAAAGCCACAGACCAGAAUUCUUAAGGUCACUAGUCAGCCUUUAAGGCUCGCAUACCUAAGCCAUUACCAAGUCUAUACAGUCUGUACUGUUUAUGCCUUAACUGACCUUUGGGUAGUUUCCACAAACUCUCAGCAGUCACACUGCUCCUCCAGAGAGAGUGCCUUGCUUGAGACAAAUGUACCUAAAGAGAUCUAAAGACCUACAGAUCCCAGUGCCUGGCUGUGUAAGCCAGUCCCUUGAUAAACAGUGGAAACUUCCUAGUGAUGAAGGCAACCAACCCCAUCCAUCCAUCACCUCUGGCUUAGUCAGGGUUUCUAUUCCUGCACAAAACAUCAUGAUCAAGAAGUAAGUUGGGGAGGAAAGGGCUUAUUCAGCUUACACAGUCACAUUGCUGUUCAUCACCAAAGGAAGUCAGGAUUGGAACUCACAGAGGGCAGGAAGCAGGAGCUGGUGCAGAGGCCAAGGAGGGAUAUUACUUACUGGCUUGCUUAACUUGCUUUCAUAUAGAUCCUAAGAUUACCAGGGAUGGAACUACCAACAAGGGGCCCUCCCACUUUGAUGACUAAUUGAGAAAAUACCUUACAGCUGGAUCUUACAGAGGAAUUUCCUCAAGGGAGACUCUUUCCUCUGUGAUAAUUCCAGCUUGUGUCAAGCUGACACACAAAACCAGACAGUAAAACUCCAUCCACCACUUCUAUCUACCAUCUCCAUCCACCACCUCCAUGCAUCACCUCCAUCCAUGCCUGCUCCCCUACUUUGCUUUGUCUACCUUCACUUUGAUCUCUUCUCACCUUCGUCCCCAAGUCAUUGAUUAUAUCACAUUAAACUAAAUCCAAAUUCUAAUCUCCCAAAUUUAAUAAUUUCCCCUUGAUGUUGGGCCCUUCUUCUUCUUGGAUUUGACUCACUCUGAGCAACCAUCUAAACAGAGAGCUCUCCUUGGUCUAAUUCAUCUACACCAUAUGAUAAACCACAGUACAACUUCCUACACAAUAGCUCUGAAUAAUAAAGACCUCCACAGCAUUAUUCUAAAUGUAAGUUUUAUUCCCCAAUGUUAAUUGCCGUUUUGAAGGCUUACUGAUGAAUAAGCUCACCAUUUCUAGUUCUUUCUGACUGACUGGUUCAGCUCAGCUAUUGUGGCUCAGACUCCUCUCCAAUAUGACUGGUUUAAUCUGACCUCUCUUAGCUCCUUUUUAUUCUCUGGCUUCAACACUCCUGUAUGAACUCAUGAGCAAACUCAACUCUACUUUACUGCACUCAGUCACUGUACUCAACUCCACUCAACUUGACUGACUGCCAACAUACUCAACUCCCAACUGACUCUCUCUCUCCCUGUGCUGUUCUCAAAUAACUUUUCAUGAGAGUCGGGCAUAUCCUACCUCUGACUCAUUCUGUCAAAUCUUUCUCUGAUUCAUCACUUUGACUGCCCCUCAAUUAGAUGUCACGUUUAAGCAUGGCUGCUUCCUUCUACAAACUAACUUUAUUUUCAUAGUUUGGGACAAAAGGUGUGAACUAAUGUCGUGUCUGUAUUCUGGCCAGAAGAAUUAAAGGUGUGUACUAAAAGACAUGUCUGUCUUCCAGUGAGAUCACACAGACCUAGCAGGUCUUUGGA